CACACAAAUGCCCAUGUUUUUGUCCAGGGAGGCUGUGAAAGGAGGUGAGGAGGGCCUUGGUCAAUCCAGACCUACAGGAGGCCAGAAUGGCCGCUCUCCAAUGUCCCAUGGCAGCAUCCUUCUAGAAUGGCACUGAGCUCUGGAUUUGGAUGGAAGAAAUCUGGGGAGGAGGAUGCUUAACCCAACCCCGGCCUCAACCAGGAGGGAGAGGAAGGAGCCUGCUGGAAGUUCAGAGUCCUGCACCAAGUCUUUUUCUCCACCACUAACGUCAGAGGCAGGUGGGGAUUCCCCAACAGCUGGGCUCAGCAAUGUCUUCCGGAGAGUCAAGGAAUGGGAGAGACCAGAGACCAGAGGACUUCAGAGCCGGAAGGGACCUUGGACCACAGAACAUCAGAGGUGGAAGGACCUUAGAACACAGGGUGGCAGACGGGGAAAAGUUCGUUCUACUGCCACUUCUUUUAAUGGCUUCCUUCAAGACUGUGCUCAAAUCCUACCUUCUACAGGAGGCCUUUCUGGGUCCUCCCAGCUGCUACUGCCUUCCCCUCCGAGAUUACCUUACACAGUGUACAUGGAUGUACUAAUUAUUAUUAUGCUAUCCACCCACCCCCACCCCCUACAAUGUGAGAUCCUUGAGGGCAAAGACUGUC